rnacentral:lncRNA from 1 species
CUGUCUUUGCAAGCUUCAGAAAUACAACUUUCUUUAGGGAGAAGGAGAGUGAGACCAGAACCUAUUCAGAAGCCGACAGCUCCUACCUGGAUGGAUGUUAGAACAGGAUGAGUCACAGCCUGUUGGUUGGGACCUAGUCACUGGUUUCACCUACCUGCAAGAAAGAAUAGGAAAUGAAGUAGUUAUCCAG